GCACUGGUGGCUCAGUGGUAGAAUUCUUGCCUUCCAUGUGAGAGACCCAGGAUCGAUUCUGGCCAGUGUA
rnacentral:tRNA from 1 species